rnacentral:lncRNA from 1 species
CAGCAACAAAAUUAAGCCCAGCAGUUACAUUGGGCUUCGCAGGAGGGGGUGUAGGCUGAAUUUGUGGAUGGUUGAGAGAUUCACAUGGGCCUCACAGUAGAGGCCCGUCACUUUGUCCAGGACAUGCUGUUGGGGGUGUGAUCUGCCGAAUGGAAGUAUGGGGAGGUGAACGCUUGCCCAAGCUCCAAAUGUUCACAUUUUCCAAAACCGGGUCAUGAACCAGAACUCUACACUCACAAGCUUUGUCCCCAAAUUACUAGCUAGGUCGAACAUAAUCAGUAUGCCUUCCAUCCAGAACAAGAAUUUCGCGCAAUACGUACGAGCAUCACGGCCAUAAAUUCAAACGAAAAGCUCGAAACGAGACUCACCUUGAUGUCCGGUAUUCUUCUGUUCGCGGUUGAUCGAGACGAAGAUGAAGUCGUCGGAUUCAGAUUCGUGUGCUUCUUUAUGUGUUUCGUUGAUUGAGACGAUGAUGGAGAAGUCGCGUCGGAGUGUGUUGUGAAGAGGAUUGAAGGCGGCGACGAGGUUUGAAGGUGGCGACGAGGAUUGAAGGUGGAAUUGUAAUGCGAAGAUGAAGGUUUCUCUGAAAUUAGUGAGCUCCUUUCGUUCCAAUCUUCUUCGAUUCUCUCACACCUGCUUCUCCUUGGAUCUUGGUUUCGCUUCUGGAUGCGGAUGGUUUACGUUCUUUGCAUGUUUCUUCUGGCCGAUGGGUUUUGCAGGGCUCGAAGACUUGAGAGAAGGAGAAGGUUUGAAGGUUCUGUUAUGGUGGUUAUAGGAUUUUGCAGAGUGAUGAUAAAGGAUUUCAAUUGAUAUGAGGGAUUCACCGAAUGAUCAAGAGAAUCGAAUUAAUGCCAAGGUAUGUGGAUUUAUAGGAUUCAAUUUCUGUUAGAAAUUCAAAUGAAACUCAUAUUGAAACUCAGAGUUGGUUAGAAAUGCAGUUGGUUAGAAAUGCGGUGGGUUAGAAAUUCAAAUUGAAAUGUAAAUUCAAAUCUAAAUGAAAUUCCUUUCCCUGCUUUUUGACCUACACUCUGUUAAAUGUUCAUUAAGUGAAAAAUCAGUUGGUUAGUUCCUUUUUUAAAUGAGAUUCAAAUUCAAAUGCACUGCUAGUGAAAUUCAAAUGCACUGCUAGUGAAAUUCAAAUGAAAUAACCUCCUGUUUUAAUGAAAUGCACAACUAUUAUGUUUAUUGUGUAGGUUAGUGAAAAUUAGUAGGAAUUCCAUCACAGUUAGAAACAAAUAUAUGUUGAAGAAAUGCCAUGUUGAUAUUGUGCAUUGUGGUGUAUUGUACUUGUUCUGCUAUGAUGUGUUGUAGGCCUGUUGCAUAUGAUUUUUUUCUUUGUUUUGGUUUGUAGGAAAUACUUUUGGAAUGUUAAACUAUUAACUAACUUCUAUUAGUUAUUAAUUUAUGUUAAAUGCAAUGGUUAAGUGUUAUUGGUUUAGAAGAGUGACAUUAAUUGUGAUGUGAGUUGAAAUUGGAGGAGAAUUUGGUUUUGAUGUUGACUUGUCAUGUGAGGUUAGAACUGCUGUUACGCAUUACUCUAGGGGUUAUUUUCAUCUGCAAUUCUGAACAGGGUUAAUUGUGAGGUUAGAAAAUCAAUUCCAGGUUCUGUUAGUAUUAAAAAAAAGGUUGAGUUAGUUGGUACCGUAAGUUCAGUUAGUGAUUUAGUUACGAAACGUAAUGAUUGAAAACAACAGAAAAUGAUUUGAAUUCUGCCUAUGUUUGGUGAUAUACCGUAGGACUCAGUUAUUGCUCUAUUUAGCUUACUAAUUAUCUAUUCCAAUUUGUUCGUGGUUGGUUUAAUUGGUGCGUUAAAAAACUGUUUUGUAGGUUGGAAGUUUGCGAACGGCCAUUAGAUUAAGGUGACCGGCCAACGCAGGUAUCCUCUCAAAUUGCCGAUUUUGGUAGUUGAUUAGUAGAGUUAAAGUUGUGAUAGUUGUUAGAAGUUGGCUCAGGUUAAUUGUUAGCUUGUUUGAUGCACAUGGAUGAAUUUGGUAUGUCAUGGCCAUGAAUGUAGAUGCUUUGAGUGGCGGGUCUGUUAUGCUUGGUAUGCCGGCCAUGUGAAUUACAAGGCUAACGUAUGCUUUGUUUAGUAAUGCAGAAACUUGGUACGUUAUGAUGUUUUAUUAUUGCUGACUAUUACAGAUUGCCAGGUUGGUAUGUGAAUGGAUUUUAUGCCGAUGAAUGAUUGUGUAUUGCCAUGAGUUGUCUUAUGUAUGUGAAAUAUAACCAUGGGUCUAACUUUGAAUGAUUUUGCAGUGCAUGAUUAUGAUGCCGUUAUGAUGACAAGCUACAAGUUUUUGUUUUAUUGGAUUUGUCAAUUGCUGGAUUAUAGUUAUGAUGCAGUUGAAUGGUUAACUAAGGAUACACAUGAGGUUGAUAUAUUAGCAUUGUUAGAACUAUACAAAAGCCAAUUAAAACUAUGCUAAUCUAAGUCACUUGGAUUGAAUGCUAAAACUUGGUUAUAAUGCUAUGCUAGUUACUUUAGUUAUGAGUCUUAUGCCAUGUUGGUGCGAACUUGUUUAGCUUUAGAAUUGAUGUAUGCAUACCAUUGUGAUGAUGAUAGAUGGGAAGAUGUUUUGCAUUUCAACAUUUGGUGUAUGGUAUGGUAUGACAUGCUAAAUUGAACUAGAUUAUGAAUGAGUUCAUGGUGUGUUUGAGAUAACAUGUAUGGUUAAUGCUAUCUUGCUUGGUUUAUUGGCACGGUUAAUGUAACUUGGUGAUAAUGCCAACAAUUUGGUUUGCUUUUUGUAGGAUGUGCGAACACGAAAUGAUGGAAAUCAAGGUGUAGCUUCUAUUUGAAGAAAAUGGUGAAAGUUUGGAUCAUUGUGUCAUGGAGUUAGAUGUAUUUGGACUUGUCAUAUUUUCUUUUUUUGUUAUAAAUUAGUAGUUUGGAGUUGACAUGUUGUAAUGGUUGGAAACUUGUAGCUUGAAAUGUAUGGUUGUAGUUAUGUAACUUGAAAAAUUGAAUGCAUGGUAUUCACGGUUGUAAUAAUAUGAGAAAAUUGUAUGGAAAUGUACAUGGUUAGUUCAUGAAAAUGUAAAUCGAAAUGGUUAGAAAUUGUAAUGAAUAAAUGGUUAGAUGAAAUAUUUCGAAUUGAAGUGUUGUAAUGGGGAUAGGGACAAUGUAUUUGUGUGGUUGGCAAUUGGAAUUCAUUUGCACAUGGUUGAAAUUGGAAUGGUUUUAAUGGUUUAUGUAUUUGGAAGUUGUAUAGAACCAUGUAUGUUGGUUUAUGAUAUGCAAUGCUUGUGAAGCAAAUGCCCAUGUAUGGUUCAAGAUGCUUGUAAGUAUAACAAAAUUGUGAUGAUAUGUUCAAGAUAUGACUCAAAA